CAGUCGCCGCGGUAAUACGAAGGGGGCUAGCGUUGUUCGGAUUUACUGGGCGUAAAGGGCGCGUAGGCGGGCGAUUAAGUCAGAGGUGAAAUCCCAAGGCUCAACCUUGGAACUGCCUUUGAUACUGGUUGUCUUGAGUCCGGGAGAGGUGAGUGGAACUGCGAGUGUAGAGGUGAAAUUCGUAGAUAUUCGCAAGAACACCAGUGGCGAAGGCGGCUCACUGGCCCGGAACUGACGCUGAGGCGCGAAAGCGUGGGGAGCAAACAGGAUUAGAUACCCCAGUAGUCCCUGUCUCUUAUAC
rnacentral:rRNA from 1 species